GGCUUAAGAUGCUUUCGGGGAACUGGGCCCUGGACUGUGGAAGAUGUCUGUCCAUCAAUUUAAUUGACGGCAAGAUAGUAUCCAUUACCUUUGACUAUCUUUAAGUGUCCAAUUUGUGAUGUAAAGUUUUAUCUUCCCAAAUAUUUGCAACAUCUACAGUUACUUCAUCAGCAUCUUCCUGAUUUCUGCAUUGUUUGCAUUAUAUUUAAUGUAAUGAAAGUCUAUUGUCAUACUUGCAUUAACAGAACAGCAUUAAUUAAUGGGGAGACUGCUGGGGUUGACAGAGGGGAUGGUUGAACAACUGUUUCCUCUGAUGAAACACAGUCUUGUUUUUUAAGGGGGGAAAGUUAUGCAAAUCAUCAUUGGUUCAGUGAGUAUACUUCAUUAAUUUCUCCUGGUAAAGAGAUUUUUUUCAUGAAGGUGUUUUAGGACCACAUGUUAUUUUUUUCUGCCUAUUGUUUAAUAACGCUCAGCAUCUCUUUUGCUACUAAAACCAUGAGUAGGAAAAUUCUAAUUCCAAUGAUUGUUCUUUCAGGUACCCACACCAUAAAAAUACACUGAUGUCCUGUGGUGUCUGAUCACUAGAUAUCCAUUUCUUAACGACCACAGCUCAUCUGGAUAUGUAUUUUAUUUUUUAACGUUUUGUUAUGGAAAACAUUAUUCCUAAAUUGAAUUCCUAUACUAGCCUACUCUGUCUGAGCCUCAUAAUUCAUGUCUUUACUCAAAGGAGACCCUGCUGGAGUGUCUUAGGAAUAAUUUUAAAAAGGAAAGGUCUCCUUUGAUAAACUUGAUGACGGUGCAGGAGAUGAAGAGAAAGUUUGGUGUCAAAAGACAAAGAGUUGUGGACCAUGUGCCUCUGGAGGACCCACCUGGACAUCAGAGAGAAAAAAAGUGCAGAGUGGGGGUCCAGAUGUCUUCUGAUUAUGAGCCAACACAAGAGAUUAUGUUGGACCUUGAAGCAGUUGGGGAGGACUACCACAGCUUUUAAGAGCAUAUAAACGCCAUAAACAAUUAGUUGUGCCGUCGUCAGCCAGAUAUUAGUCAUAUAAUGGACAGGAUGAGGCAAACUGUCUAUAAGAGGGUAGAGCAAAUGGGAAAGCCAACUGAGGAGGUGAUGAUAUGUUCCCAUUUCUUUGGGUGUCAGAGCUGAUGCAUCAUGAAAUGAAGUUGCGGUUUGGACUGGACUUAGAGCUAAGCCUGCAUAACACCCUCAGUAUAUUGACCCCUGACGUCAUCAGAGUGGCUGACAGUGGGAGUCAGAGGGAGAGGCUGUCAAGCCUACGAGAUACUAACACAGAUGACCUUCAAAAAAGUGCUGCUGUCCUAAUUUUGCCUGCCCUUUUCAAGGAGGAUGCCAAGUUUCUGUAUUGUUUAGACGAGGAACCACUGUGUUUCCAACCAUCAUCUUCCAGGGUUGCCAGGAGAGCAUCCAUAAAGAUGGAUGGCAUCACAAUAGCAAGUGGAGAGAUGGAUGCCCUCCAAUGCCUGCUGGAGGUGUAUUACAUCUUUGGUGUGGAGUACCACAUGCAGAUUAAGGACACACUGGCUUUUACAGAGCAUUAUUUGUUCAAGAUACCAAGUCAAAAAAGAGUGUCGACUCCUGUUUUGAGACUUUACAAUGAAAUUGGCUAGUCUUCGUUAAUAUUACCUUUUAUUUGAUGAUAUACUUAAUACAUUUGCUUGAUUAUUUCUAAAUCUGUGUGUGGCCUUCCUGUUCAUGUUUUUAUGUGUAGAGCCAGGCACAACUCUUUCAUAGUAUUACAGGGCUUACAGCAUGUAAACAAAGGUUUGUGUAACAAGUUAAUGGGUAUAUUUUCAUUUAAAGUAAAAGCCUC